rnacentral:lncRNA from 1 species
UCCAGUGCCAUUAAAGCAGACUAGCCACAUCCCUCGCUCCAUCCUCGCAAUCCUCUCGCCAUCUCUCUAUCCCUCUCUCCAUCUCUCCAUCUCCCCAUCCGCUCUCCUCUCUCCAGCCCUCUCUCCUCCCUCCAUCCCUCUCUCCAGCUCCCAUCCUCUCUCCAUCCCUCUCUCCAUCUCUCCAUCCCUCGCUCCAUCUCUCCACCCUCUCUCCAUCCCUCUCCCAUCUCUCAUCCCUCUCUCCAUCUCUCAUCCCUCUCUCCAUCCCUCUCUCCAUCUCUCCAUCCCUCUCUCCAUCUCUCUAUCCCUCUCUCAUCUCUCAUCUCCCCCAUCCCCUCCCUCCAGUCUCUCCACCCCUCUCCACCAUCCCUCUCUCCAUCUCUCCAUCCCCUCUCCAUCGCUCCAGCCCUCCUCUCCAUCCCUCUCCAUCCAACCCCCCCCCCCCCCCCCCCAACCCACCCCCCCCCCCCCCCCCCCCCCCCCCCCCACCCCCCGCCGCCCCCCCCCCCCCCCCCCCCUCUCCAUCCCCGCGUCCAUCUCUCCAUCCUCUCUCCAUCUCUCCCAGAAUCCCCCUCUCCAUCGCUCCAUCCCUCCUCCAUCUCUCCAUCCCUCUCGCCAUCUCUCCAUCCCUUCUCCAUCCCUCUCUCCAUCUCUCCUCUCUCCAUCCCUCUCUCCACUCUCCAUCUCUCUCCAUCCCUCUCUCCAUCUCUCCAUCCUCUCUCCAUCUCUCAUCCCUCUCUCCAUCUCUCCAUCCCGCUCUCCAUAUCUCACAUCUCUCCAUCCCUCUCGCCAUCUCGCCAUCCCGCUCUCCUCGCUUCCAAAAUCUCUCCAUCCCGUCUCCAUCUCUCCAUCCCUCUCUCCAUCCCUCUCUCCAUCUCGUCCAUCAUCUCUCCAUCUCUCCAUCCCUCUCUCAUCCCUCGCUCCAUCUCUCCCAAGCCCUCUCUCCAUCUCCCAUCCCUCUCUCCAUCUCUUCCAUCUCUCCAUCCUCUAUCCUCCUCGCUCCAUCUCUCCAUCCCUAUCUCCAUCUGCUCCAUCCCUCUCGCCAUCUCUCAUCUCUCCAUCCCUCUCGCCAUCCCUCUCUCCAUCUCUCCAUCACUCUCUCCAUCUCUCCAUCCCUCCUCCCAUCUCUCCAUCUCUCAUCCCUCUCGCCAUCCCUCUCUACAUUCUCUCCAUCUCGCCAUCCCUCUCGCCAGCGCGCCAUUCUCCAUCCCUCUCUCCAUCCCUCUCUCCAUCACGCUCUCCAUAUCUCCAUCCCUCAUCACUUCCAUAGCUUCAGGACACAUCUGACAACCCGUUGCUCUCUCUGAUCUGGUU